rnacentral:lncRNA from 1 species
GAAAUUUUAUUUUAAAUCCUAAACCGAUUCUAAAGCCUAUUAGGAUAAGUAAAAUGGUCCUAUUACAAAACUAAGUUUUCCCCCUCUCUUCCUCUCCCCGUGCAACGUCCUCUUCGACCACGGACCACGGCCUUUUUCCCCCCGAAGGAGAGGUGGUGUCUCCUUUUUGCCCCACGAUUUUACCCCACCCGUUCCCUCCCGCCCGCCUGUCCGAGCCCCCGAAUCGCUGCCCCUCGAUUUUACCCCACCCGUUCCCUCCCGCCCGCCUGGCGGAGUUUUCUAGGGUUCCUCCUCGACUCGAUCGAUUCCGUAGGUCUCGGGGAGUGCUUCGAGCCUCGGAUCUGCGAAAACGGCGUAGGAUUGAGCUGGCUGGCUGGGUGGGCGGAAUUCGGUCCUCGCUUCGAGAUUGUAGGUAUUGGCUGGGGUUUUCAGGGGUUUCUUGGUUUGGAUGCAGAUCUCUAGGAAGUUUGAUGUGGUUGGAUCUCGGAGGCGUGUUCACGGUGAUUUGAUCUGUGAAUCCAGCUCCGUAUGAGGCCGUAGAUCUUGAAGGAUGGGGGAAUCGAGGUGGAGUUUCAAGAUUAUCGUUGCGAUGAUUUGUGAGGUUUUAUCAUAACAAAGCAGAAUCUGUGGAUCUUUGAGCCCUUGUAUGGAUGAGUUUUGAUGCUAUUUGUAUCCUCACAUCAGCAAUAAGUUUUGAGCUCUGAUCCUAUCUUCUUUUCGUUGUUUCUUUUAAACGGUAUGAGUUCUUGAUUAUCUUGGACACCGGAGCGCGUCAAGUUUGGGGAGAAUCUAUCUGUUCCCCUGGAAUUUAAAGAUUUCAAGGUUUGGUGUUGAUGUUGAGCUUGAAAGUUGGGAGAUUAGAUGAAUCUUUUCCAUUUGUCUUGAUUAGGUGGUCAGUUCUUUCUUUGACGGAAUAUUUGGAGAAAUUUCAGACCUUCUGGUUUAAUACGUUUUUACGGCUUUAAUUUUGUUGGGUCCUGCUGUCGUGUAGUCUUGGAAUUAUCUGCAGAUCCACUGGAUUUUGGAAAGGGGGGUGAUUGAUAUCUUGAUGUUCUCAGAGAUUCC